CUACGUGCCAGCAGCCGCGGUAAUACGGAAGGUCCGGGCGUUAUCCGGAUUUAUUGGGUUUAAAGGGAGUGUAGGCGGUCUGUUAAGCGUGUUGUGAAAUUUAGGUGCUCAACAUUUAACUUGCAGCGCGAACUGUCAGACUUGAGUACACGCAGCGCAGGCGGAAUUCAUGGUGUAGCGGUGAAAUGCUUAGAUAUCAUGAGGAACUCCGAUCGCGAAGGCAGCCUGCGGGAGUGUUACUGACGCUUAAGCUCGAAGGUGCGGGUAUCGAACAGGAUUAGAUACCCUGGUAGUCCGCACUGUAAACGAUGGAUGCCCGCCGUUGGCGCCCUGCGCCUGCGGCCAAGCGAAAGCAUUAAGCAUCCCACCUGGGGAGUACGCCGGCAACGGUGAAACUCAAAGGAAUUGACGGGGGCCCGCACAAGCGGAGGAACAUGUGGUUUAAUUCGAUGAUACGCGAGGAACCUUACCCGGGCUUGAAUUGCAGUCGCUGCCCACAGAGA
rnacentral:rRNA from 1 species